GUGGGCCACCCCAGGAAGGGGCCUGACUUUGAGGCAGGUGGCUGUCAGAACCUGAAGACAAUUCCUGGAGAAGGACUCUGCUAGAAUGAUCAGCCAUCAACACUCCCAGCAGCCUGGGGAAUGUGCCUCAGAUCUGAGGGAGGAUCUGGGUGGCACAUCAUGGCACCCACGGCAGGGUUAGACGCUUACCUCCAGAGAAGCCAUCUAUGGCUUGGCCAGGACAGCAAUGCCACCAGGGACGUGCAGUGCUGGUGGUGAUGGCCAAGCAGUUAGGCCGACUCCCUUAGGGAGCCCACAAAGGAGCACUUAAGAGGGGGUCUGGGGCUGACUCACAAUGGUGAGUGUCCAGCGAGUGGGGAGAGGACAUGCCCGGCUCCAGCAGGAAAGUGCCGCCAGUUCUGUGGAGUCCCAGGAUCUCCAGGGAGCCCCCUUUUAGGAUGCCGGCCUUUUAAGCUGUUUUCUGUCUUCUUUGCUUCCCAGGGUUUUCCUGAAACAAACUCUCAUCAUCUGAGAGAACCUGCAUGCACCUCUGCUCCCUGCACCCCGGAGGGAACCAGCAGUGUGCCCUGGGAAAAGCUGGGGCCCCACAGGUCCCAGUCUCUGAACAGGGUCUCGUAUAAAGAAGCACCGUCCAGGGACUAUUGCAGCGUGCACUGGCAUCUCGAAGACAGUAUCAACGAGUAUCUACAUCACAACCCGUAACCUCGCUCCUCAAGUUCCCUGUCCUCCCCUCCCAACCCCUGCCCCCACAGCUGAUCAUGAGCCUUACACUCACCCACCUCCAGCAGUGCCAGAUUCACUCCUUACUUCCCCACUCUCUUCAUAUGGAGAGUGACAGCUUCCCUAGGGUCGUAGAAGAAAACAACACGGACCACUUACCAGCGUCUCUUUGAACAGAGAAGCUACUGCUGUCUAAGCCAGAUCAAGGUCCUUGUCACUUACAGCCAACACCACAACUGAUACAAAAGGGAAGGACACAAAACAAUUGUGGAGAAAGCCGUCUGGAUGGAGCCAGCAGCUUCGCGACCAUCGAGUGGCAUUUCCAGAGAGCAGAUGCACGCGGAGGGGUGUAGUUUGAAGGAAGACCUGGCGGGAUUUGCUAAUGAAUUGGAUAGCAGUGUAGUGAAAGAGACCCUCGGGAAUGACUUCAGGUUUUUAGGCUAAGGAAUUACAGGAAUGGAACCAUGAAUGGAGAUGUUGGUUUAGACCAGUCGCCCUCUGGACCAAGCUGCUGUGAGCAUGGAUUUAACAAAAUGUCAGCCCCACUGGGUGUGAUUUUCAAGUAUGAAUUCAAAACCUAUGCUCCAGAUUCUUCACCGUAUGAUGUUCCAUAAAGGAAUGGAGUUCUCCCCAGCUCAAGUCCCACAGCCUCUCACCUGAACUCCUGAAGGUGCUCAGCAGAACCCAGAGCCCUCCAUCUGGCAGGGUCUCUAGAUAGUAACUGAAAUCUUUCAACCAAUUGCCAAUCAGAAAAUCUUUGAAUGCACCUAUGUCCUGGAAGCCCCCCUACCACUUCGAGUUGUCCCACCUUUCCAGACCAAUCCAAUGUACGCCUUACAUGUAUUGAUAGAUGUCUGCCUGUACCUUCUGUCGCCCUCAAAUGUACAAAAUCAAGCUGCAACCCAACCACCUUGGGCACAUGUUCUCAGGACCUCCUGGGGCUGUGUCACAGGUCUUGGUCACUCAUACUUGGCUCAGAAUAAAUCUCCUUAAAUAUU